UUAAACGCUUGAACACCGGAUAUUCUUAAUUACUUGUUAAUUAAUUGAAGAUCCAUUUCUUCUUCCGUCAGCAAUCAAUUACAAAGUGUGUUCAGCUGCAAAUAUAAAUAUAUAUAUCUAAAUCUAAUCAUUAACUGGAGAGUCAGGAACCCUAAUUGUUUCUCUCGGUAACUUCCCUCUGGCUUUCUAUAUCUCUCGGUUGGCCUUCGAGCAUAACUUCAAAUCCGUGUCUGAUUCAACGAUGGAUGAAGAGUAUGAUGUUAUAGUAUUGGGCACGGGUCUCAAGGAAUGUAUUCUCAGUGGUCUUUUCUCCGUCGAUGACCUUAAGGUUCUUCAUAUGGACAGGAAUGAAUAUUACGGAGGAGAAUCCACAUCACUCAAUCUUGUUCAGGUUCUUGACCUCAGCGUGGAUCUAAGUGCUGCUAGUGCUGCAGAAGAGUAAAGAAAACUUCCGCUGUGCUUUAACUUGUUCUGUUGAUGAUAGCCGAUAGGAUCCGUAUAAUGGAGUUAGCAACGUAUGAUCAUAUGAGCGUUUAUGAAAAAUUAUUAUAAAAAUUCAUAGUUUUUAUCACUAAAAAGAUAUCUUGUAAAACAGAUUUGUGCAGGGAAACUUUUUCCUGAACUGCGGUUCUAGUGUGGUGCCGCUUGAUUGGUUUUGCUGCGUUGGUUUUAUUGGUUUCGGGAUGUAGUGUUAUUCCAUAAUACCUGUUGCAUGGAGCCUUCCACAAUGCUCUAUACAAGCCUUGUUCCUAUGAUAUUUAAGCUGUUAAAUAAUAAUGUUACGAUAAAAUUAUAUAUACAAAAAUAAUAAAAUAUUUCAUCACUAUAGCUUUCCACGCACACUCAUAUAGAGUAAACUAAAUCACAUUGAACAAUUCCCAAACGAGGUACUAUCCAGCAAAUCUAAACACCGAAUACUUUGGCAAUUUUUUUUUUUUUCAAUACACUAACUGAGGUUUUAAUAAUAAAUAUUUAUUACACUUAUUUGUGCUCUUAAUUAAUAGUUUUAGGUUUGUUUAUUGUGAGAAUA